rnacentral:rRNA from 1 species
GGGUCAGUAGGUUGGUCGUGCCACCGGUACGUACUGGUCUCACUGAUUCCUCCUUCCUGAAGAACCGUAAUGCCAUUAAUUUGGUGUUGCGGGGAAACAGGACUUUUACUUUGAAAAAAUUAGAGUGUUUAAAGCAAGCUAACGCUUGAAUACAUUAGCAUGGAAUAAUGAAAUAGGACGAUCGAUCCUAUUUUGUCGGUUUCUAGGAUUGACGUA